rnacentral:rRNA from 1 species
AGGAUAAACGCUGGCGGCGUGCCUAACACAUGCAAGUCGAACGCGCUUUCGGGCUUCGGUGCGAGAGCGAGUGGCGGACGGGUGAGUAACACAUGGGUACCUGCCUUUCAGUGAGGGAUACCGGCGAGAAAUCGCCGACAAUACCGCAUGGGCUUGUGGGAACACAAGCAAAGUGGCGCAAGCCACGCUGGAAGAUGGGCCUGUGGCCGAUUAGCUAGUUGGGGGGUAACGGCCUCCCAAGGCGACGAUCGGUAGCUGGUCUGAGAGGACGAUCAGCCACACUGGGAUUGAGAACGGCCCAGACUCCUACGGGGGGCAGCAGUGAGGAAUUUUCCGCAAUGGGCGAAAGUCUGACGGAGCAACGCCGCGUGCAGGAGGAAGGUUUUCGGAUCGUAAACUGCUUUUCUCGGGGACGAGCAAGGACGGUACCCGAGGAAGAAGCCCCGGCUAACUACGCGCCAGCAGCCGC